UAUACGGGGCCGCUGGCGCCAUUUCGGUCUUUCAGCUGCAGGAGUUUGCUCGUGUUGGGAAUGGUGGUGUAUACAGGUGGAAUGUGGCAUUUGAUGGGAUUUUAUGGACAGUUACGUGCCAAAGAAGGGUGAGAACUCUGGUCCUAAACAGUAAGCCUCCAGUCAUGGGCAUACAGGCAUUGGGAAGCCAGAAGUUGAAAUGGUGGAGUUUGACUUAGCUGGACCAGGCUUAUUUGAGUGGUGCUGUCUGGAUGGCUUGCUUUGGUCCAGGUUAUGAAGACCUUUAUAAAGGUAUGGGGAGUGAGCUUGGCUAUGAUGCACUGUCCAAGAAGUUUUCAAAAAGCAUUAAGAGUGAAGAUACAAGCCAGGCAUGGUAUCAUGCCUGAACUUCCCAUCUACUAGACAGGUGGAGACAUGAUGACUUUAAGGUCAGCCUAGAUAAUGUAAGGCUGAGCUUCGUCUGUUGAAAAGAACUCACGAUUGGGAAAGUGGAGGUAAACCUUGUUAUCCUGAAGUCUCUAAGGACUUUAUGGCAUCAGUGGGCAUACAGCUCGUCCUUAUGGCAAAGGCAGCUGGAUGGACGCUCUUUGAAGAGAUUAAACAUACCAAUUUUAAUAAAUUUGUGGAAACUUAUCUGGAGAGAUGUAUUUUUUGGUGAUGAGGAUUGAGCCUAGGGAGAUGGGACUACAUGUAUUUCAAAUACAAAUGGGGUACGGGAAGAAAGGUACCUGAUCAAAACAAUAGGUGACUUUUUUGCACCCAUCAUUCUGAGUGGAAGUACACACGCACAAAUUAAGAGAUUCCACGGCACUGCUUCACUUUAGAAGACCCAUUUAAUGGCAAUAACAUUUUUAAAAAUAGGCAGGUUUUUUUGGCUCUUUCUGUAUAAAAUGAAAAACUGGCUAAAGCAGUGGGGUUAUUAGAAUGCUAAAAUUAAGACUACUGGGGAGAAAACUAAGUCGUGGUUACAGGCUUUUGGCAAUCAAAAUGUUCACGUAUACUAAAAGACUGGGUGUGGAAAAGCUGGUUAUAUCCAAGUAGUUCCCCUCAAAAGAUGUUUUAUAAAAUGUGGAUCUGCUAAGGUGCUUGGUACAGCUCUUUCCUAUCAUACCUGAGCCUUUCAUCUUACCCAGGUAAAUUUGAGUUUCUGGAGUCAAGCACUUGAUAAACAUGGCAGUGGAUUGACAAUAGAGCUCCAGUUUGCUAGAGAAACCAUCUCUAAAGAUCUUUGUGCCUGCUACAUAACUACUGCUCAGCAACAACAGCUUCAGCUGUGUUGGCAUGUUUCUCAGUCCAUUUUGCAGGUCUUCGAACCAGCUCCCUUUACAUUAUUUUACAAUACCAAGGGAAGAUGUGAGUUUCAUUUUUUUCCCCAGCAUUUACCUACGUGUACACAGUGGCUUCCUGGAGUGCCCUCAGGUGCUAGAAUUUUUUUUUUGUGGUAUUGGGGAUUGAACUCCAGCCUGGUGCUUGAGAGGCAGGUGUUGGAACCACUGAGCUAAAUCCCCUGGUCCAGCUGCUAUGUUGUGAGUCUGUUUUGGCGGUGAGAGGUCUCAACUGUAGUAGGCCUCAAUCUUAAUGCCUCAGCCUCCCAAAGUGCUGGGAUUACAGGUUUGUGCCGCCAUACCUGGUCCAGUGGUUUACUCUCCAUCACCACCAUUUGCUACUUGUGCAUACCUCUAAUCUCAUCUUGAGACCAGUCCAUGGGCAAUUCAGUGAGACCAGGUUGGGCAUGUAACUGCAAAGUCUAUUGGUUUCUCAAUGUUGGCAAAAAUUAUAGUAAAAAUUAACUGCUACUUCAGUGAAGGAACUUCUCCAUGAUUCUGGUUGCAAGCCAAAUUGAAUGGGAACUGAAUCCAAUGUCUCUUAAGGUUGAGAUUACCUAAUCACUGAAUUUGACUGGGUUCUCGUUUGUAGUCAGAAUUGUGGAAACGACUUAACUGUCAAAACCAGUUCAGGGUCUUGCUGCGUAGUUCAAUCUGGUCUGGAAUUUAGGUAGCCUAAUCUGGUGCUGGCCAUCUGCUUGCCUCCCAGGUACUGAGAGUAUAGGCCUGUGCUAACAUGCUUGGCUUCAGUGAGACUAAGUGAUCCUAAGACUUAAAGUUUGAGAAAUAUUCUAGAUGAAAUAGUAUCUUAGAGGUUAAGUAACUGGGCCAGUGAUAGGUGCCAAAGGGAGUGGUAGAGCCAGGAAUUAUAUCCAGGAGUGUUCAACUCAAAGUUUUAAAUAGUCUUUAUUUACACAUAUGUGAUUUAGAUGUACUUAAAGGAAGAUUUUACAGAUGCAGAUGGGGGGGCGGGGUGAGACAAGGUCUCAUUGUUCAGGCUGUCCUUAAAAAUAACAUUUGGAGUGAUCCUGCCUCAGCCACCGGAGUGCUGGGAUUAACAGGAGUGUGCCAUCAGUCAGGCCCAGAUGGAACUGUUACAAUACUUGGUUAAAAAAGUACCCUUAGGUGGCAUCCUUAAAAUUAUGCUUAACAAAAACUAAGAUCAGUGUUACAGAUCAGUUUGUUUCCUCAGAAGAAACUGUAAAAGACAGCUAUACAGGUACUGUUUUCAGUGAAAGCCUAUAAGCAAAAACAGCUAACAGACUCAUAGGAACAUCUCUUCCCAACAAGGAGGGAUUAUUUACAGGAUAAGCUGUCUUAACACAGACUUGCUGUUGCAGGUGGCAGUUGCUUUUUCUCUUCAGUGCUUGGCAUCAAACCCAGGGUGCAGCACAUGCCUAGGUAAGCACUCUCCCACUGAGCUGUAUCUCCAGCCCCACAAAAAUACUAAAUUGUAAAUUUUUAGCUUACUUCAAUAAAAGCUUUAUUUACAUUCCCUAGGAUUUAGAAUAAGCAUUUUUCCUGACAGUUCUGAAGAAAAGCUUGCAUAAUGCCUAAUGUGACAUGAAGAGAGGAUUGUCUUGACUCUUGGAGACCUAUGACCUUUGGUAUUUAUGGCCUAGGAAAUAGUUUGGGUGUCAUUUGUGAACUCGUUUCUGGGAGACAUUUUAGCCAGAAUUAGCUCUAAACAGUGAAUUAUACAUAUUGGAAAGCAAGUAACACGGGUGUAAAACUAUCUCCCUACCAAUAAAGGAUACCUAGAAAUUCUGCACUGAGAAGGGGCAGGCAAAACUGGAUACCCUCUGUCAUGAAGACUGCCAGCAAGGUCUUUUUGGGUUUAAUACACUCCAAGGGAGACUUUAGGUAAAAAAAAAUGUAGGGAAAAGCAACCUACUAGCAAACCAGAUUUCUGCAGCAGGGAAGGACAUUGAUGUGUACACAGCCUUUUUUUUUGGUACCGGCGAUUGAACUCCAGUCCUUGUGCUUGCGAGGCAGGUGGUGGACCCACUGAGCUAAAUCCCUGGCCCUGCCUAUUUUUGUACCUCGGAUCAAACUCAGGACCUUGUGCUUUCGAGGCAGUGUGGAUUGAACUCAGAACCUUGCACUUGUGAGGCAGGUGGCAGAACCACUGAGUACCCGAGAACGAACUCAGGACCUUGUGCUUGCAAGGCAGGUGGCGGAACCACUGAGCUAAAUCCCCGGCCUAAGUUUUUUAUUUUCAUUCAUAUUAUUUUUCACAAAUGUCUUCUGAUUUGGCAAGAAGAGCGCUAUGAGGUAGCCAGAGAAAGUACUGUUUACAUUUUACAUAAGUAGGAAAUGAAGCUCAGUGAGAAUUUCUUAAAGUGAAACACUGAAUAAGAUUUUGUCUCAUUUCAGUGAUAUUUUGUGCAUUAUGUUAUUCUUACUACAUUGUGUUGAUAGUUGAAAUUUCACCGUAAAUUUUAUCAGUCUCUUGAGGCUGGAUGAACCACAACCCUCCCUCUAUCACAUGUCUACAGAAGCAAGGAUUUUCCUUCAUGAUUUGACUUUCUCUGUCCUAUGAAUAAUCUGAGUAUGGAAAACAUGAUUAGAAAACAUUAACCUACUAUAUUACUCUAGUAAAAAGCCAUCUUUUACACUCUGCAAGUAAAAAGUAACUUCAAAAAACUCAACCAAAAUUAAUAAAAGCUCCAGAAGUACAUGUUA